CCGUAGCUCAGUCGGUAGAGCAGAGGACUGAAAAUCCUCGUGUCGCUGGUUCGAUUCCGGCCGGAA
rnacentral:tRNA from 1 species